AAUAAUUCACGUUUAAAGCAAAAGUUUGCCGAAGUUUUUACAAAGAGUUGUCAUCUUGGGAAGGAGAUAAGCGGAAGUAUCUUGCUGAAAGGCGUGUCUUGCUUAGAAUUGGCUUCAGAAAAGUGGGGGACACGAACAUCAGAGGUUCCGACACGAGUGGACCUUCUGUCAAGAUAUCUAUUCUGUGCUUUUUCUUCGAACUAAUAGCGGCAACAUAUCAAUAAGAAUAAAACAAAAUUUAUUUGUAAAACGUGUAGCAAUUAUAGCUAUAUCUAGCA